UUUUUUUUUUUUUUUUUUAAUUUUAGGGCCAUAUCCAUGGUAUAUGGAGGUUCCCAGGCUGGGGUCCAAUCAGAGCUGUAGCUUCUGGCCUACAACAAAGCCACAGCAAUGCCAGAUCUGAGCUGCGUCUGUGACCUACACCACUAGCUCAUGGCAGCACUGGAUCCUCAACCCGCUGAGCAAGGCCAGGGAUCAAACCUGCAUCCUUAUGGAUACUAGUCAGAUUUGUUUCCACUAAGCCACAACGGGAACUCCUAUUAUUGCCUUCUUUUAUUCCUUGAAAAAAAAAUUGAAUGCUCCUUGGAUUCAUAGCAUGAUGCUAGUCACUACCUUGAAUAAUUUAAGUUAAAAAUAAAUAUAAUAGUAGCCAACAUUUUUUGAGUAUUUACUGUACUCCAUACAUUUUAUUUUUAUUUUCUCAUUGAACCUCUAUGACCACCCUUUGAAAUAGGUCCAUCAUUAUUUCCAACUUGUAAAUUAAUUGUAAAAGACUCUUCUAGAAAUGGUAGUUUAUGAUAUGAAGCAUUCGUGGCUGUGUUUUGCCAUCAAACAUCUUAGACUAAUGUUCUUUUCCUGAUACCAAGAUGAAAUCUAAUUUUCAAUGUCUUCAGUAUGCCAAACACACUUAUUGGUGACUUUCCAUUGUUUUGGUCUAUUAGAGUACUUUCUUUUCAGCGUAAACCAAGCAGUCAUCUAGUACCUACCUGCCUAUGGAGCCCAAACAGUGAGGCUCCCAAACUAUACCACAGUCAUUAACAUUACCAGCUCAGCCUAUAGCACAUUAGACCGGCUACUGGUCAGCCUUGUGACACAGGAUUGAAGAGGAGGUUUUGGAAGCAUGCACUCAUUUCAUCCAUCUGCUUAAUUGCCCAUUAACAUAGUCAUUUGUCAUCAAACAUUUUUAUUGAAUAGCUACCAUAUGCUAAACUAUGGACUAGAUACUACAGUACAAGGUUUUAGUUCUUUCUAAGCUUAUGAAUGAUUGGUCAUUUUAAUCGGCUUUAAUGGGCCAAUACAGGACACCAGAGUUUCUGACUUAGUAGGUCUGCGAGGGGUCUGAGAAUUUAUAUGUCUAAUAAGUUCCUUGGGACACUGAUGUUGCUGGUGCAGAGACAACAUCGUGAGUAUGACUGACUUAGAGCCAUUUGAUUCAGGUUCCAACUUUUGGACACAUAUACAUGGAUACUGAGGAAGGAAAUUGGCAUUCAUCAGGUUUUUAACACUAGGUUAGGGGCUUUAUAGUAGUUAUCUUUAAAAGCCCUGAUGCCUUCCUUAUGAUGUGUGUAGGCAGUUAGUUACUGUAUCUAUUUGCAGAUAAUUAAGCCAAUACUCAGGAAGGGAAGAUAAACUACAGAGUAGGCAUUCUAACCCAGGGACAUCUGAUUCCAUAGUCCUCCUUUCCUAAUUGUUCUAUGUUGGGUCACAGAAGAAUAAGCUAGUUGUUCCCAUCAGGGAUUACCUAGUCUAUGUUUUUCUGAAAUUGUCUUACUGAAUUAGCUAACUGUGGACAUAACUCAGGUAUGAGAAUUAAGUUCUGGUAUGAGAUAAGAAAGCCCUUAUUUCCCCAAAACUUAGUAACUUCACAGAACAACAGUUUAGUCUUUCAUAUGAUGCUCCUGGUCUUGUCUGAGCUAACCUCUGUGGCUGAAGUCAGCUGAUAGCUCUGAAGAACUGAUUGAUCUGGGGUUGCCUCACUCAUGUUGGGGGGACCUCAGCUGCGAAGGUUGGAAUGACUAGCCAAGUGGUGGAGCCUCUCUCUACAUUGUUCUUUCAGCCCAGGCUUCUUCUUCUGGAGGGGAGAAACCUUCUAAGGUGGCAGAAGCAGGAACUUUGGGUCAUGCCACAUUCUUUUGGCCAAAAUAAGUCUGAGCCAGACGAGACAGGGUGAAGUAAGAAACUCCACCUCUAAAUAGGAGGAACUGGAAAUAAUUUGUGGUCACUUAAAAUCCACCAGAACCUCCAUACUGGAUUGUCUCUUUGUUUUCUAGUUUCUCAAGUAUUUGUAACUUUUUUGUGGUUUUAGUUGUCUUGGAUUUUGUUCAGAUGAAGGCCAUCCUAUCAGAUGUUCUUAAGCCCAUUAGCAGAGUCAAGUUACUAUUGAGCAUUGGGAGAGGACAAUCCUAAAAUGAGGCUCUUGCUUUUUGACUGAUCCUGCUAAGAAAACUGCCUCCUAGAAUGGGAUUAAAACUCAAGGGCUUCCACAGUCUCCUUCCAAGCUUGAAGGACUCCAGUAGAGAAAGUUUUUAUGGACUUUUUUUUUAAUUUAUAAAGACUUGCUUUGCCAUUUGCAAAAAUUCACAGUAAUAGGAAAUUAUAAAGAGUAAAAAGACAGGAUGACCAGGUUAGAAAUAUUCAUUCAAAACUCUUAAGCUUUAGGAAACUGGGCAAGAUCAUAUUUGUGCAUGAUGGGAGGGGGAGGGAGUGGGAGGGAUCGGGAGUUUAGGCUUAUCAGACACAACUUAGAAUAGAUUUACAAGGAGAUCCUGCUGAAUAGCAUUGAGAACUUUGUCUAGAUACUCAUGUUGCAACAGAAGAAAGGGUGGGGGAAAAAAUGUAAUUGUAAUGUAUACAUGUAAGGAUAACCUGACCCCCUUGCUGUACAGUGGGAAAAUAAAAAAAAAAAAAAGGGAGUUCCUGUUGUGGCACAGUGGAAAUGAACCCAGCUAGGAUCUGUGAGGACUCAGGUUCAAUCCCUGGCCUCACUCAGUGGGUUAAGGAUCCACUGUUGCCGUGAGCUGUGCUGUAGGUGGCAGACUCGGCUCAGAUCCUUCGUUGCUGUGGCUGUGGUGUUAGGCCAACAGCUGUAGCUCCGAUUUGACCCCAUCCUGGGAACUUCCAUAUGCCACUGGUGCAGCCCUAAAAAGCAAUAAUAAUAAUAAAAACAAUAACAAUAAUAAUGUGAGACAUUUUAUUAGGUGACGGCUGAGCGAGGAAUACUAUAAGCAUGAGAGAGGAAUCCCCAGGGUUAUUACCCUGAGCCUGAAAGGAAAGGGAAGGGAGACGUUUCCAAAACCUAGACAGAGAAGGUUGAGAAGAGAGGGCCAUAUCAAGAAGAGCCUUUGGUUGAGGAGUGUCCAAGUUCAAAGUGACCCCAAUCGAAAGGAAAUGGAGGAUUAAACACUCUGCCAUCAUUCUCCUUCCUCCUUCCCAGCACACCUGUUGGGGGUUUCCAUUGGCUAAAGCCAAAAGGAAACCAGAGGCUGGAAGAGACUCCUGAUGUUGUCCAGAAGGUCACUAUGCUAUGGCAGGAGGAUGGAGACCAGCUCUGCAGGGACAAAGGGAAGACAACUUGCAGAGGGACAUUUAAUUAAAAGGUUCAGCUGAAGGAUAGAAACAAUACAUAACCUUUCCUACAGUCAUGUGUGAGACCAUCAUAGGAAAUUCUCAGAAAAAGUAGUUGAAAUCGGGCUACAGUGCUUUUAAGCCUCUCACCAUCUGAGGAGGAAUAAAAGGAUGGAGAUUUGGAAAUAGAAAAGAGGAGACAUUUUGAGAUGUGUGUGUCCCAUGUGAUUAAAGGAGAGGAGCCAUCAGUCCAUCACCUCAAGCCUGGGCAGUGGGUUCUGAAAGGUUCACCCAGAGGGACUCCUAUGUACCUCUUCCAGUUUGGAAGACACAGUGAGCAAGUGUUUCAUUCUUGCCCAGAGAAUCUAAAGGAUGAGAACUGUGCUGACUGGCUGUGUUGACAGUGAGACAUAGAAUAGAUGUUGCAUGGAGAAGCCUUCAUCCCAAGAAAGCUGCCUGAGUAGUGGAUGCAGGAAUAUUUAUGAUAGGCCAGACCUGGGCUGUGUGUGAGAGAGUGCCAGCAUGCAUUUUUCAUGGAUCCUGCCCAAGAGGGCUGAAAACAAAGCAGAUCUCAGCUGAGAGAAACCAGAGUCAGAGCUAGCUUCCUAAGAGCAGGAAAGUAAAAAUUGGAUUCUAACCAUCCAGGAACAUGGGGGAGAUAGAAGAUGAGAGUUCCCCCAGAUCCACAGAGAGCCCAUGAAGGUAACCCACCUGGGAGGUGCAGAGAACUCGAAUAUUUAGGUAUGUGGAAAGGAACAGCCAAGUAAUGACUUUCCUGCUCCCCUGACUUCAUCUUACCUCCCGUGCUUCGACCCCAAAGUAGCCAGAAACUACUGUUAGAAGGAUGAGUGAGGGGAGAGGGGAAGGUGGGGAAAGGAAGUAAAGAUCACUCUCUCUCCCACCCACUGUGAACCUCACUGGGGGAGGGUAGAAGCUCAAGUCUAUUAAAGAUUGCAGUUUGGGCUGCUCAGCUGACACUACAUCUUGUGAGCUGAAAUGCCUGGAAAGCUUUGUUACCUAAGAGCGAAAAAAAUCAUGGGGUUUGCCUGAUUUUUACAUGAGAUUGAGGCAAGAACUAACCCCACGCACGCACGGUCCUACAAUUGCACCUUCUGAGACCUGCGUGCUCUGCAUACCUGCAUAUGAAUACAGAGAAACAUGCAGUUACUGAUUCCUCUAAGAAGAGGUGGUCUUGGCCCUUCUCCCACUCCAUACAUCCUUCCCUGACAGGAAUCUGUUUCUUUGUGAAUUCUUUCUUCUUAAAAACCUUCUCGGGGAGUUCCCGUCGUCGUGGCGCAAUGGUUAACGAAUCCGAGUAGGAACAAUGAGGUUGCGGGUUCGAUCCCUGCCCUUGCUCAAUGGGUUAAGGAUCCGGCGUUGCCGUGAGCUGUGGUGUAGGUUGCAGACACGGCUCGGAUCUGGCGUUGCUGUGGCUCUGGCGUAGGCCGGCAGCUACAGCUCCGAUUCGACCCCUAGCCUGGGAAUCUCCAUAUGCCACAGGAGUGGCCCAAGAAACGGCAAAAAGACAAAAAAAAAAAUAAAUAAAAAG
rnacentral:lncRNA from 1 species